GCCGAUAAACCCUACCCAUCCUGCUAACGAGAGGUGGACUACAGGGGACCAACGUAACUGUCACCUACGCGGCCUACCACAUGAUCCAGCUAGUCAGGGGAUAUCCACAAGUAAUCUAGGUCUAAGCACCACGCUUACACCUAUACUACAACUCUAACCUAUAGGGUCCUAUAGAUUAGAAGUACUCAAAAGAGUUGUGAACCAGAACAUACAUGAUUAGUAAUUGCAUAAUGAAUUAGAAGUAGAUUACCAGAGUCAUCCCAUGAGCAAGCUUGAUUAGAGCUUGAUCAUGGCGAAGUACAACCGGAGGAAGAACCGACAGGCCGGCCUCUCCUCUAAUCCUCCUUCGCUCUCCAUCUCGCUACUAUCUAGAUCUACUCUAGUUUAGAGAAGAGAGGAGAGCUCUCAUCUCUAAACCCUAGCUUUUGCUCUGUCUAUGAAUAAUGAAUAAUGAUCAAGGGGGUGCCUCCUCCAGGGGUCAGGGGGUCUGGUUUUAUAGUCCCCUCAAGUGAACCUGGGCCGUCGGAUCAAACCGACAUUGAUUGAACGGUUAUUCUUGAUCCUUUAGGUCGGUGGAGCAUAAUCCGCGAGGUUGAACGUGAUUGGCCACUGUAGCAGGGCGGGCGCCCUAAGGACUUGGGCGGGCGCCCAGGUCCUGGGCCCGAUCGGCCUCCCGUUCGUUCCCGUGGCUUCUGGAGUCUUCUAGAUGUAAGAUAAUUGCGCGGCAUGUUGAUAUCUCUAUGUAAUCCCAACGUGUGGGCCUUUCUUCCUUAUUUCCUGAUAACCCCCUGCAGAAAUAGACAAACACCAAAACUCGUGGAAUUCUGUCAGAUAAAACCCUAAGUCUUGAUGUUGAUUUCAUUUGGAUCCUUUUCUUUGUUUAUUUAAUAGUUAAAUUUGAUACUUAAGGACCAUCAACAAACUCCCCCAAGCUUACCUCUUGCUCGUCCCUGAGUAAGGAUAGACUCAGCUAUGGAUCAUAAGUUGUUGCAAUAUCUUUAAAAAUUGACGGUACACAUGCUUUUAAAACUAUCAAGACUUAAAACUUACUUACUUUACCUUUCACCAUGGGACUUGUAAUCGUCACUUCUGUCUUGAGUGGUUAAAAGAUAGAACAGUCCCGUCAAGUGCCAUGUCUCUUAUUCUUGAUCAGCUAUAGCUCUGGAGUUUUUGCAGAUUUUCAAAUAAAACUCAGAGAUUCCUUUGUAUGACUAUCUCAUAUCUCUCUUUUGUGGUAUUUCUGGAUCCUUACCAAGGCAGUGAUGGUCAUACAUACCUUCCUUGCUUUUUGAAACUUUAUGAGGAGAAUGAGAUGCUCUUCUUUUUCUUUCCUCUCAGGUGGGUAUCUUGUACCCCUAAUUCUACUGUCGGACACUUGUCUAUUUUUACCUCUCGUCUCACUUUUUCUUUCUUUCGAGGUUCCGGGCACUUGCCCCUUUUUAUUUCCUUGUUUAUUAUUAUUAUUAUUAUUAUUUCUUUUCUUCUCUUUUCUUUUUUUUCAGAGCACUCAUCUCCUGAAAUAAUGUAGCAAGUGGUAGUAACCAAAAUAACUGGAGCAUUUAUUUCACAUGGAAUAACAUGGAUAGGAAAAUGUUUUUGGCUAUUCUCUUCUGGAUUAGGAGUAGAAUGAUUUUGGGUGAAACUGGAGAUGGAAAUGGAUGGAUAUAUAUGGAUGGUACUUCCAGAGUAGAAGUAGCAUAUAUGAGUGAACGUGCAAGUGAAUCUUGAUUUAACCACAUGACAAGCUCCUAAGGGUCUACACAGCUUGACCACACUCAAUGCUCAUAAGCAGUAAAUAAUAAAUGUGUGGCUCAAAGUCUAGCAAGCAUGUAUAUAUGGCUGUGGUAGGAAUUUAAACUCUCAUCAUACAGGAACUCAUCAUGCAAUAUUUUAAAGAUUUUUCAAAGAUAAAAUUCUCCAGAAUUCUAGCAUCUCUAGGAGCAGAUAAACAGCAGCUCAACCUUCCCAUAUCAUAUCCGUUAACAACUUAGAUUUCAGAUCAAGUUUUCAUCCCACAAGUUUAGAUCUAGAGCAAGCUUUAAAUUAUAACAGUUAUGUCUAAACUUGAGAGAGAACUUCAAAUUUGUAAAUUAGGCAGAGCAACUAUUCAUCAUAUCCAUGCUAGAGUUUUAUUAUUAAGAUUCAUAGCAAACUUUAUUUAUUUAUUUAUUUAUUUAUUUAUUUAUUUAUUUAUUUAGCAAACUAAGAAAAGAUAUAUAUAUAUAAGCAUAAAAUCUUUAUUUGGUUUUUCAUAGUUUAUGUAUUUUAAUAUUCUAAUAUAAUAUAAGUAUAAAGAUAGGUAGAAAUACUUAGCGAGAUAAAUAGGGGUGCUCUCCCCCAAGCUGAAUUUUGACGUAAUUUCUCUUGAUGUAGCUAGCAGGUGGCAGAGGUGUAUUUGAAAGUCAGCAGCAUUCUGACAGCGAUUAGAAUGUCCUCCGUCUGCUAGUCUUCUUGAUUCUUAAAUUCUGUGGAGCUCAAAUAGACAACAAAGCUUGUGGAACUAAUUAAGUGUUAGCAUAAAUGUCAAGCCUUCAUCACGUUGAGCUUCCUCAAUAAAUAUUACUCCCUGUUUUUAUAUUUUUAUUUUAUAAAGUAAAAAAAAGAAAUAUUUAUUUUAUUUUUAUGCCACCACAGUGAAGGUACUUAUGGGUUUUAUGCCACUCGUAUACUCACAUGGGGCUUAGUAUUUUUUUAACAUUUUUAUUUUCUUUUCAAGAUAGCAUGAUUAACUAAUAAUCUAUUUAAGACAAGUAAAUAAUUAAAGGGAAAAGGGAAUGCAGAAAGGAUAAAUAUGGAUAACUACCAAUCUUACCUUUCGGCGAGGGUUCAAUGUUUUAAGGCUUCUUGACAAGACUUCUCACCGUGUUCAUUCUUCAGGUGCGUCAUUUGAUUCAGGUGCGGACCUUGACGUCUGCACCUUUUAAUACGGUGUCACCCAUGUUCUUCGUUUGCCCAGCAGUUCGAAGUGAGGUGUUAGCAGUAUCUUGCUCAGUGUGUUUGUGCUCGUAGUGUACCUGCUCAUAGAGACAAGGCAGAGAUCAAGUGCAUGGGCCCUGUUUGUGGAAAACACCAACAGAACCAAAAGUGUAUUUGUUCUUCUCUAACCUUAAGCAUAGUGAGCAAGACAAAGUUGAUGGAUGAUAAGUUCAUGAGUGUAGCACUUAUAACAUUUGUCAGAUCAGAUCGCUCAACCUUAUGGAAAGAUAAUCUAUCUAUGUAUAUGUCUUUUUCUUUAUAUCUCUCAAUGAUUGAAUGUGUAACAUUUUAGCUCAUAUGAUUAGGAGUGUGGGAUCAUGGUGGUAGUACUAAGAACAAGGAUUAAAGGACUAAACAUGUUGAAUCAGUUUGGUUGGUUAAUCUAGAGUUGUAAAUCAUACACGUUUGUCUCUUUUAUUUAUAUGAACGCCAGAACCAAGGAGAAGCUUAUAAAAGUGAUAGUCAAGUACCUUAGGAUGUUACCUUGCUUGAAAAGUGAUCGUACAGUAUCACCUUGUGGAAGCAUUCCUUUCUUAGCGGUUGUGCAUCGUGUUCGUGGCACCCUCCAUGGAUCAUCUCUCUAUGAUGAAUGAGCUAUGUCCUUCUUGUGCAAAUUGUUAAACUUCAUGUGUCACUCUCUUCGUCUCUGAUGUGAGUUUAUCUCAGGACUUCCCAAAUCGAUAUUGAAAGUUUUUCUGCAGGGGUUAGUCCGACAAAAUAUACCAAUAUCUACUCAAGCAGUUUUUUUUUAGUUCAAUAACCAAACUAGACUCCAUGUCUAAUCAAAUUAAGGAAGGCUAUUUAACCUAAGCACCAUGCUUAAUUUAAAUGCCAAUGGAAGUAUGGCGAGUACUUCCAAACCAACACUUGCUAGUAAAUAGACAAAGGUAGCAUGACAGCAUUUAUAGAGAUCUACUCAAGUGGAGAUGAAGUAGUGUGAUUAGUAUUUAACAAAUUGAGCAUGUCUCAAAGGUAGGGACAACCAGCAUAGCAACAUGGCAAAGG
rnacentral:lncRNA from 1 species